rnacentral:rRNA from 1 species
UUUUUUGGAGAGUUUGAUCCUGGCUCAGGACGAACGCUGGCGGCGUGCCUAACACAUGCAAGUCGAACGGAGAAUUUCAAAGAGCUUGCUCUAAGAGAUUUUUAGUGGCGGACGGGUGAGUAACGCGUGGGUAACCUACCCAUAAAGCCGGGACAACCCUUGGAAACGAGGGCUAAUACCGGAUAAUCUUAAGUCUUGGCAUCAAGGCAUAAGGAAAGGUGGCCGAUGAGAAUGCUACCGAUUAUGGAUGGACCCGCGUCUGAUUAGCUGGUUGGUGGGGUAAAGGCCUACCAAGGCGACGAUCAGUAGCCGGCCUGAGAGGGUGAACGGCCACACUGGGACUGAGACACGGCCCAGACUCCUACGGGAGGCAGCAGUGGGGAAUCUUCCGCAAUGGACGAAAGUCUGACGGAGCAACGCCGCGUGUAUGAUGAAGGUCUUCGGAUUGUAAAGUACUGUCUUUGGGGAAGAACGAAGUACUUGAGAAAAUUGAGUACAAAUGACGGUACCCAAGGAGGAAGCCCCGGCUAACUACGUGCCAGCAGCCGCGGUAAUACGUAGGGGGCAAGCGUUGUCCGGAAUUAUUGGGCGUAAAGGGCGCGUAGGCGGAUAAUUAAGUCCGGUGUGAAAGAUCAGGGCUCAACCCUGAGAGUGCAUCGGAAACUGGCUAUCUUGAGGACAGGAGAGGAAAGUGGAAUUCCACGUGUAGCGGUGAAAUGCGUAGAUAUGUGGAGGAACACCAGUGGCGAAGGCGACUUUCUGGACUGUAACUGACGCUGAGGCGCGAAAGCGUGGGUAGCAAACAGGAUUAGAUACCCUGGUAGUCCACGCUGUAAACGAUGAGUGCUAGGUGUAGAGGGUAUCGACCCCUUCUGUGCCGCAGUUAACACAAUAAGCACUCCGCCUGGGGAGUACGGCCGCAAGGUUGAAACUCAAAGGAAUUGACGGGGGCCCGCACAAGCGGUGGAGCAUGUGGUUUAAUUCGACGCAACGCGAAGAACCUUACCAGGGCUUGACAUCCUCUGAAUCCGCAGGAAACUGCGGAGUGCCCUUCGGGGAGCAGAGAGACAGGUGGUGCAUGGUUGUCGUCAGCUCGUGUCGUGAGAUGUUGGGUUAAGUCCCGCAACGAGCGCAACCCCUGUAUUUAGUUGCUAACGAGUAGAGUCGAGCACUCUAGAUAGACUGCCGGUGAUAAACCGGAGGAAGGUGGGGAUGACGUCAAAUCAUCAUGCCCCUUAUGUUCUGGGCUACACACGUGCUACAAUGGCCGGUACAGACGGAAGCGAAGCCGCGAGGGGGAGCAAAUCCGAGAAAGCCGGUCUCAGUUCGGAUUGCAGGCUGCAACUCGCCUGCAUGAAGUCGGAAUCGCUAGUAAUCGCAGGUCAGCAUACUGCGGUGAAUACGUUCCCGGGCCUUGUACACACCGCCCGUCACACCACGAAAGUCUGCAACACCCGAAGCCGGUGAGGUAACCGUCCGGAGGUCAGAGGGCAGAAGCCCAAUCAGAGGCCGGAGGUCAGAAACSGGAAGUCAGAGAGGAAGUUACUAUUGGAAGGACUAAGCAAAUCUUACGAGAAAAGCUUAGAACCAAAAGAUAAGACAAACAUCUGACAUCUGGCAUCUGAUUACCGACAUAUCUGGAAAGGCAUCUGAUUUCCGACCUCUGGAUGGAGCUAGCCGUCGAAGGUGGGGCCGAUAAUUGGGGUGAAGUCGUAACAAGGUAGCCGUAUCGGAAGGUGCGGCUGGAUCACCUCCUUUCUAAGGAGA